GUCUGGCCUGCUCACUGAUUAUUUUGAAGAGCCGCGGUAUUUUGACCGUGCAAAGGUAGCAUAAUCAUUAGUCUCUUAAUUAGAGGCUGGAAUGAAUGGCUUGACGAGAAAUCAACUGUCUCUUAAUAAAUUUUAGAAUUUAACUUUUAAGUCAAAAGGCUUAAAUUUUUCUUUAGGACGAGAAGACCCUAUAGAGCUUGACAUUUUAUUUAUAUAUAUUUUUAAGAUGGUCUUUUUAUAUUUAAUGAUAAUGUUUUGUUGGGGUGACAUGAAGAAUUAAUAAACUCUUCAUUAUUAAAUCAUUAAUUUAUGUUUGUUUUGAUCCAUAAUUUAUGAUCAUAAGAUUAAGUUACCUUAGGGAUAACAGCGUAAUUGUUUUUGAGAGCUCAUAUCGACAAAGCAGAUUGCGACCUCGAUGUUGGAUUAAGAAAAGUUUUGGGUGCAGUAGCCCAGUAAUUAGGUCUGUUCGACCUUUAAAUUCUUACG
rnacentral:rRNA from 1 species